CGUUCUGUAGCGCAAUAGAUAGCGUGUUGGACCUCUAAUCCAAAUGUCGUGGGUUCAAAUACCGCCUGAAAUGG